rnacentral:rRNA from 1 species
GGGCGAAGCCUGAUCCAGCCAUGCCGCGUGUGUGAAGAAGGUCUUCGGAUUGUAAAGCACUUUAAGUUGGGAGGAAGGACAGUAAAUUAAUACUUUGCUGUUUUGACGUUACCGACAGAAUAAGCACCGGCUAACUCUGUGCCAGCAGCCGCGGUAAAGA